rnacentral:rRNA from 1 species
AUUGAACGCUGGCGGCAUGCUUUACACAUGCAAGUCGAACGGCAGCGCGGGGCAACCUGGCGGCGAGUGGCGAACGGGUGGGUAAUAUAUCGGAACGUACCCAGAAGUGGGGGAUAACGUAGCGAAAGUUACGCUAAUACCGCAUACGAUCUACGGAUGAAGGUAGGGGACCGCAAGGCCUUAUGCUUUUGGAGCGGCCGAUAUCUGAUUAGCUAGUUGGUGAGGUAAAGGCUCACCAAGGCGACGAUCAGUAGCUGGUCUGAGAGGACGACUAGCCACACUGGAACUGAGACACGGUCCAGACUCCUACGGGAGGCAGCAGUGGGGAAUUUUGGACAAUGGGCGCAAGCCUGAUCCAGCAAUGCCGCGUGAGUGAAGAAGGCCUUCGGUUUGUAAAGCUCUUUUGUCAGGGAAGAAACGGUAGAGGCUAAUAUCCUUUGCUAAUGACGGUACCUGAAGAAUAAGCACCGGCUAACUACGUG